GAUGAACGCUGGCGGCGUGCCUAAUACAUGCAAGUCGAGCGAACGGACGAGAAGCUUGCUUCUCUGAUGUUAGCGGCGGACGGGUGAGUAACACGUGGAUAACCUACCUAUAAGACUGGGAUAACUUCGGGAAACCGGAGCUAAUCCCGGAUAAUAUUUUGAACCGCAUGGUUCAAAAGUGAAAGACGGUCUUGCUGUCACUUAUAGAUGGAUCCGCGCUGCAUUAGCUAGUUGGUAAGGUAACGGCUUACCAAGUCAACGAUGCGUAGCCGACCUGAGAGGGUGAUCGGCCACAUGGGAACUGAGAAGAGGUCCAGACUCCUAGGGGAGGCAGCAGUAGGCAAUCUUCCGCAAUGGGCGAAAGCCUGACGGAGCAACGCCACGUGAGUGAUAAAAGACUUGGGAUCGUAAAAAUCUGUUAUUAGGGAAGAACAUAUGUGUAAGUAACUGAGCACAUCUUAACGGAACCGAAUCAGAAAGCCACGGCUAACUAAGUG
rnacentral:rRNA from 1 species